rnacentral:rRNA from 1 species
CCUACGGGUGACAGCAGUGGGGAAUAUUGCACAAUGGGGGAAACCCUGAUGCAGCGACGCCGCGUGAGUGAAGACGUAUUUCGGUAUGUAAAGCUCUAUUAGCCGGGAAGAAAAUGACGGUACCUGAUUAAGAAGCCCCGGCGAACUACGUGCAAGCAGCCGCGGUAAUACGGAGGGGGCAAGCGUUAUCCGGAUUUACUGGGUGUAAAGGGAGAGGAGACGGCAGCACAAGGCUGGAGGGAAAUGCCGGGGCUUAACCCCGGAACCGCUGUUGAAACUGUGCAGCUAGAGUGCAGGAGAGGUAUGUGGAAUGCGUAGUGUAGCGGUGAAAUGCGUAGAUAUUAGGAGGAACACCGAUGGCGAAGGCGGCAUACUGGAGUGUAACUGACGUUGAGGCACGAAAGCGUGGGGAGCAAACAGGAUUAGAUACCCGUGUAGUC